AUUGAACGCUGGCGGCAGGCCUAACACAUGCAAGUCGAGCGAGCGGCGGACGGGUGAGUAAUGUCUGGGAAACUGCCCGAUGGGGGGGGAUAACUAUUGGAAAAGGUGGCUAAUACCGCAUACCAUCGGAUGUGCCCAGAUGGGAUUCGCUAGGUGGUGGGGUAACGGCUCACCUAGGCGACGAUCCCUAGCUGGUCUGGGAGGGUGACCAGCCACACUGGAACUGAGACACGGUCCAGACUCCUACGGGAGGCAGCAGUGGGGAAUAUUGCACAAUGGGCGCAAGCCUGAUGCAGCCAUGCCGCGUGUAUGAAGAAGGCCUUCGGGUUGUAAAGUACUUUCAGCGGGGAGGCGUUACCCGCAGAAGAAGCACCGGCUAACUCCGUGCCAGCAGCCGCGGUAAUAC
rnacentral:rRNA from 1 species